GCGGGUGUAGCACAAUGGUAGUGCGCGUGCUUGCCAAGCACGAAACGGGGGUCCGAUUCCCCUCACCCGCU
rnacentral:tRNA from 1 species